GACGAACGCUGGCGGCGUGCUUAACACAUGCAAGUCGAACGGAAAGGCCCUGCUUUUGUGGGGUGCUCGAGUGGCGAACGGGUGAGUAACACGUGAGUAACCUGCCCUUGACUUUGGGAUAACUUCAGGAAACUGGGGCUAAUACCGGAUAGGAGCUCCUGCUGCAUGGUGGGGGUUGGAAAGUUUCGGCGGUUGGGGAUGGACUCGCGGCUUAUCAGCUUGUUGGUGGGGUAGUGGCUUACCAAGGCUUUGACGGGUAGCCGGCCUGAGAGGGUGACCGGCCACAUUGGGACUGAGAUACGGCCCAGACUCCUACGGGAGGCAGCAGUGGGGAAUAUUGCACAAUGGGCGGAAGCCUGAUGCAGCAACGCCGCGUGCGGGAUGACGGCCUUCGGGUUGAAAACCGCUUUCGCCUGUGGCGAAGCGUGAGUGACGGUAAUGGGUAAAGAAGCACCGGCUAACUACGUG
rnacentral:rRNA from 1 species